rnacentral:tRNA from 1 species
AUAGAUGUAGCAUAAAUUAAUGCAUUUCACUUACACUGAAAACAUACUUUUAUAUAAGUCAUCUUUA